GUGGGGAAUCUUGCGCAAUGGGCGAAAGCCUGACGCAGCCAUGCCGCGUGAAUGAUGAAGGGCUUAGGAUUGUAAAAUUCUUUCACCGGGGACGAUAAUGACGGUACCCGGAGAAGAAGACCCGGCUAACUUCGUGCCAGCAGCCGCGGUAAUACGAAGGGGGCUAGCGUUGCUCGGAAUUACUGGGCGUAAAGGGCGCGUAGGCGGACAGUUUAGUAAGAGGUGAAAGCCCAGGGCUGAACCUUGGAAUUGCCUUGGAUACUGGGUGUCUUGAGUACGGUAGAGGUGAGGGGAACUCCGAGUGUAGAGGUGAAAUUCGUAGAUAUUCGGAAGAACACCAGUGGCGAAGGCGACUCACUGGCCCGUUACUGACGCUGAGGCGCGAAAGCGUGGGGAGCAAACAGGAUUAGAUACCCCUGUAGUCC
rnacentral:rRNA from 1 species